rnacentral:rRNA from 1 species
AGUGAACGCUGGCGGCGUGCCUAAUACAUGCAAGUCGAACGGAGUGGCGCACGGGUGAGAAAUAUAUAGCUAAUCUGCCCCUUUCUGGAGGACAACAGAGAGAAAUGACUGCUAAUACUCCAUAGCCAGGUCUGAGACGAUAUCGUAUCAGCUGGUCGGUGGGGUAACGGCCUACCGAGGCUAUGACGCGUAACUGGUCUGAGAGGAUGAUCAGUCACAUUGGAGCUGAGACACGGUCCAAACUCCUACGGGAGGCAGCAGUAGGGGAUAUUGCGCAAUGGGGUAAACGCUGACGGAGCAACGCCGCGUGGAGGAUGACACUCUUCGGAGCGUAAACUCCUUUUAUUAGGGAAACGGUACCUAAAGAAUAAGCACCGGCUAACUCCGUGCCAGCAGCCGCGGUAAUAC